rnacentral:rRNA from 1 species
UCCGGCGGCUAUGGCAAGAGGGUUCCACCUGUUCCCAUACCGAACACAGCAGUUAAGCCUCUUCGCGCCGAUGGUACUUGGCUGGAAACGGCCCGGAAGAUUAGGUCGCUGCCGGAU